GAUGAACGCUGGCGGCGUGCCUCAAACAUGCAAGUCGAGCGAGGCUAUGAAUUACCGCAAGGUAAGGCAUAGCCUAGCGGCGAACGGGUGAGUAACACGUGGGUAACCUACCUGGAAGACAGGGAUAACGAUUCGAAAGGGUCGCUAAUACCUGAUAAUAUCCAUCUGCCGGAUGGCGGAGGGAAGAAAGGGGAAACCCGCUUUCAGAUGGGCCCGCGUCCCAUCAGCUAGUUGGUAAGGUAAAGGCUUACCAAGGCGACGACGGGUAGCCGGUCUGAGAGGAUGUACGGCCACACUGGGACUGAGAUACGGCCCAGACUCCUACGGGAGGCAGCAGUUGGGAAUCUUAGGCAAUGGACGAAAGUCUGACCUAGCGACGCCGCGUGAGGGAAGAAGGCCUUCGGGUUGUAAACCUCUGUCAUGGGGGAAGAAGGAAGUGACGGUACCCAAGAGGAAGCCCCUGCUAACUACGUG
rnacentral:rRNA from 1 species